CUACAGGGUUUUUUAAAAUCCAUAAAGCUUAUCAGAAAAUACAUA
rfam:Chlamydotis undulata macqueenii contig101133, whole genome shotgun sequence.